rnacentral:ncRNA from 2 species
AACUUAUCAAGAGUGGUGGAGGGACUGGCCCUGUGAAACCCAGCAACCGAUUUAAUAAAAUUUUUAUGAAGAUUCGGUGCUAAUUCCUGCAGCUUUAGCUGAUAGAUAAGAG